UCUCUGUCUCUGUCUCUCUGUCUCUGUCUCUGUCUCUCUGUCUCUGUCUCUGUCUCUGUCUCUCUGUCUCUGUCUCUGUCUCUCUCUCUGUCUCUGUCUCUCUGUCUCUGCCAAACCCAUAAUGGGGUUCUGUUGGAAUUGGCAACUUUCACAGGAGUCAAAUUGAAGUCUCUAGGGGAAUACAAGAAUACACACCAAGAGCCAUGAAGAAGAAAAACAAACUAAACAACGAUGACAUUUUGGAACAAAUUGAAUGUCACUGACUCAGUCAGGCUUGACUGACAUGACAGAUCAAUACCCCAAAACACUACCCCCUCGGUCCCAAAUGGCACCCUAUAUAGGGAAUAGGGUGCAACAGGAUGCAGAAAACCACUCUCAUCAACAGAUUUGUGCAGAUAACACUUGUUUUAAAAUCCCAUGCUGAGGUUUAUCUCAGGUCCUAGCUGUGGACCAUGUUGGGGUUUAAACCAAAGACAUUACACUAGGUUAGCUGUGGACCAUGUUGGGGUUUAAACCAAAUACAUUACACUAGGUUAGCUGUUGACUGUUGUGGGGUUUAAACCAAAGACAUUACACUAGAUUAGCUGUUGACCAUGUUGGGGUUUAAACCAAAUACAUUACACUAGGUUAGCUGUUGUCCAUGUUGGGGUUUAAACCAAAUACAUUACACUAGGUUAGCUGCUGACCAUGUUGGGGUUUAAACCAAACACAUUACACUAGGUUAGCUGUGGACCAUGUUGGGGUUUAAACCAAAUACAUUACACUAGGUUAGCUGUUGACUGUUGUGGGGUUUAAACCAAAGACAUUACACUAGGUUAGCUGUUGACCAUGUUGGGGUUUAAACCAAAGACAUUACACUAGGUUAGCUGUUGACCAUGUUGGGGUUUAAACCAAAUACAUUACACUAGGUUAGCUGUUGACCAUGUUGGGGUUUAAACCAAAUACAUUACACUAGGUUAGCUGUUGACCAUGUUGGGGUUUAAACCAAAGACAUUACACUAGGUUAGCUGUUGACUGUUGUGGGGUUUAAACCAAAGCCAUUACACUAGGUUAGCUGUUGACCAUGUUGGGGUUUAAACCAAAUACAUUACACUAGGUUAGCUGUUGACCAUGUUGGGGUUUAAACCAAAGACAUUACACUAGGUUAGCUGUUGACUGUUGUGGGGUUUAAACCAAAUACAUUACACUAGGUUAGCUGUUGACCAUGUUGGGGUUUAAACCAAAUACAUUACACUAGGUUAGCUGUUGACUGUUGUGGGGUUUAAACCAAAUACAUUACACUAGGUUAGCUGUUGACCAUGUUGGGGUUUAAACCAAAUACAUUACACUAGGUUAGCUGUUGACUGUUGUGGGGUUUAAACCAAAGAAAUUACACUAGGUUAGCUGUUGACUGUUGUGGGGUUUAAACCAAAUACAUUACACUAGGUUAGCUAGCUGUUGACCAUGUUGGGGUUCAAACCAAAUACAUUACACUAGGUUAGUUAGCUGUUGACCAUGUUGGGGUUUAAACCAAAUACAUUACACUAGGUUAGCUGUUGACUGUUGUGGGGUUUAAACCAAAUACAUUACACUAGGUUAGCUGUUGACCAUGUUGGGGUUUAAACCAAAUACAUUACACUAGGUUAGCUGUUGACUGUUGUGGGGUUUAAACCAAAGAAAUUACACUAGGUUAGCUGUUGACCAUGUUGGGGUUUAAACCAAAGAAAUUACACUAGGUUAGCUGUUGACCAUGUUGGGGUUUAAACCAAAGACAUUACACUAGGUUAGCUGUUGACUGUUGUGGGGUUUAAACCAAAUACAUUACACUAGGUUAGCUGUUGACCAUGUUGGGGUUUAAACCAAAGACAUUACACUAGGUUAGCUGUUGACCAUCUUGGGGUUUAAACCAAAGACAUUACACUAGGUUAGCUGUUGACCAUGUUGGGGUUUAAACCAAAGACAUUACACUAGGUUAGCUGUUGACCAUGUUGGGGUUUAAACCAAAGACAUUACACUAGGUUAGCUGUUGACCAUGUUGGGGUUUAAACCAAAUACAUUACACUAGGUUAGCUGUUGACCAUGUUGGGGUUUAAACCAAAUACAUUACACUAGGUUAGCUGUUGACUGUUGUGGGGUUUAAACCAAAUACAUUACACUAGGUUAGCUAGCUGUUGACCAUGUUGGGGUUCAAACCAAAUACAUUACACUAGGUUAGUUAGCUGUUGACCAUGUUGGGGUUUAAACCAAAUACAUUACACUAGGUUAGCUGUUGACUGUUGUGGGGUUUAAACCAAAGACAUUACACUAGGUUAGCUGUGGACCAUGUUGGGGUUUAAACCAAAUACAUUACACUAGGUUAGCUGUUGACUGUUGUGGGGUUUAAACCAAAUACAUUACACUAGGUUAGCUAGCUGUUGACCAUGUUGGGGUUCAAACCAAAUACAUUACACUAGGUUAGUUAGCUGUUGACCAUGUUGGGGUUUAAACCAAAUACAUUACACUAGGUUAGCUGUUGACUGUUGUGGGGUUUAAACCAAAUACAUUACACUAGGUUAGCUGUUGACCAUGUUGGGGUUUAAACCAAACACAUUACACUAGGUUAGCUGUUGACUGUUGUGGGGUUUAAACCAAAUACAUUACACUAGGUUAGCUGUUGACCAUGUUGGGGUUUAAACCAAAUACAUUACACUAGGUUAGCUGUUGACUGUUGUGGGGUUUAAACCAAAUACAUUACACUAGGUUAGCUGUUGACCAUGUUGGGGUUUAAACCAAAUACAUUACACUAGGUUAGCUGUUGACCAUGUUGGGGUUUAAACCAAAUACAUUACACUAGGUUAGCUGUUGACCAUGUUGGGGUUUAAACCAAAUACAUUACACUAGGUUAGCUGUUGACCAUGUUGGGGUUUAAACCAAAUACAUUACACUAGGUUAGCUGUUGACUGUUGUGGGGUUUAAACCAAAUACAUUACACUAGGUUAGCUGUUGACCAUGUUGGGGUUUAAACCAAAUACAUUACACUAGGUUAGCUGUUGACCAUGUUGGGGUUUAAACCAAAGACAUUACACUAGGUUAGCUGUUGACCAUGUUGGGGUUUAAACCAAAGACAUUACACUAGGUUAGCUGUUGACCAUGUUGGGGUUUAAACCAAAUACAUUACACUAGGUUAGCUGUUGACCAUGUUGGGGUUUAAACCAAAGACAUUACACUAGGUUAGCUGUUGACCAUGUUGGGGUUUAAACCAAAUACAUUACACUAGGUUAGCUGUUGACCAUCUUGGGGUUUAAACCAAAGACAUUACACUAGGUUAGCUGUUGACUGUUGUGGGGUUUAAACCAAAGACAUUACACUAGGUUAGCUGUUGACCAUGUUGGGGUUUAAACCAAAUACAUUACACUAGGUUAGCUGUUGACCAUCUUGGGGUUUAAACCAAAGACAUUACACUAGGUUAGCUGUUGACCAUCUUGGGGUUUAAACCAAAGACAUUACACUAGGUUAGUUAGCUGUUGACUGUUGUGGGGUUUAAACCAAAGACAUUACACUAGGUUAGCUGUUGACCAUGUUGGGGUUUAAACCAAAUACAUUACACUAGGCUGGUCAUUUGUUGCCUAGAUGAAGGUGAAUGAGAGAAGUGGUGAAUGAAAAACAGAACCCCCCCCGUUCCCCCCGUUCCUUAAUGACUCUUCCAUAAACUCCCAUAACAUAUCGUAACAUACUAAAAACAACCAUAACAACUCAAUCCUUUACAUGACAUCACACAAUGAACAUUCCAGUAAACAUACAUACAUACCAUUAACAUACAAUUAUUACUAACACAACUUAAACUUUAUCAAAAUUAGGCGAGCGUUAUAAGGCACUAUACAGUCUAAACUUAACAAUACUUAUUUGAUGCUGUUUGGAAAUACUACAAUUUGUUUGCUCAUUCAUUGCUGUGAUACACACAAAAGGAUGACAUCGUCUA